CUAAAAACAUCAAGUGAGUAAGAGCUAGAUCAUAAGCCACAGGUGAAGCCAAGAUUCAAAUAAAAAACCAGUAGAAUUAGAACUCAAGAGGUUGUAAAGAAAGGAAGGCUAGACAUAAGUGAUGACCAAAAGAAAAUAAGAUAAGUACUUGUGACAUGUGCAAAUUUUCUUCAGGUAUGAAGGCCUAAAUGAAAAGCCAAGCCAAAGGCAUUAUUUGUAAUGCUGAACAUCAGCAUAUAUACUUUACAAUCCAGCAAUACCACUUACAGAUGUAUAAGCUAGAGAAACUUACCAAGGUGCACCAACAGGGAGCUGAGGUCACGAGGCAACCAUAAGAACUGAAUUUCAGAAAGAGACAAGCCCUUCCAAGGAGAAAUAAGACAUGGAAAUUAUUUUACCUUUGCCAGAGCACAAGCAAAACACAGAGCUGCUACAAAAAAAGGUGAAUGUGUGCUCAGCCUCACUGCCAUGGCACCUCCCACAGACCCAAAGUAUGAAGACAUCUCUGGGCUUCUAUUGGCAAUUGAAUUACGGCAUAAAACAUACCAAUUCUUGAUCUGUGAAAAAGGUGAGGAUCUGGAUGCCACUGUGCUUCAUCAGGCAGAAAAACACUUUUGCUUUUAUGGAGAAAAAAAUUUAAAAGAAGGAAUAAAUGACUCUUUGUG